rnacentral:lncRNA from 1 species
CGUGAUGUAGAUUGGAUGAUGAUAAGUCUAGAUGUGCAAAGUGUGAAGGCUGCCAGCUUGGGCCGUGAAGCCUGCUUCCAUGGUGCUGUGUUGAUUCAUUUAAAUUUGAAUGGUGCAGGCCGUGAAGAUGGAUGAACGUGUUGCUGUUUUUGUGCAUGGAGGUACGAGCUGCUGCAAUUUUGAUUCAGAGAGCUGGUGCAAGUCUGGACCGUGUGGGCUCCCAUGACGUUAGCUUGAUUUUUAAAAUGAAGGGUGAAUGAUUUGCUUCAUGUGCUUCUUUCUCUAUUUGGUGGCAGUUGCAGCUUGUAGGCCGUGACACAUCCGCUGCCGUGGCCGUGUAUGUGAUCAGGAUAACGUCUCCUUGCUGGACAGUUUGAAGCUCGGGCGUGGGUGAGAUGUUGGGCUGCUUCAAAUGUAUUUGGUGUGGCAGCUGGAUGUGUGGCUUUGGUGCUGCUAUGGGCUGUGAUGUGCUGUCCUUCACGUGCUCC